rnacentral:tRNA from 2 species
GGUAAAAUGGCUGAGUGAAGCAUUAGACUGUAAAUCUAAAGACAGGGGUUUAUAAUCCUCUUUUUACCA